CCUGCCGGGUGUCUGUACUGCUUGGGUAUCUGCAAUGGUUGAGCCAAACUCCAUCCUCCCCUGACCUCGUGACUGGGUCCAGCAAGCGGCUGCUCAGGAUGCUUCCAGCUGUUUGCUGUCCAAGACCCACAGCCCAUUAAAGGAGGCUCCCAGAUAAGCCGUCAGCACACCUUUAGUAUUGCUGGCCCUGCCAAGAGAGCAAGUGAAAGCGAGAGCGAAGAGGCUACUGUGACCUCGGGUCCCUCAGGUUAAAGAAGGAGACACUCAAGUUUCCAGAUGCAAAGUUGACUGGCAGUUUUCCCUGCGCUAAAACUAGCCAGAGAAAAGCUGGGGCCCUAUCCCUUGGAGACCGGCCUUUUGUUCUAUGGAGAAGGAAGGAACUCCUGCUAACACGGCCAGGCAAUUCAAUAGGAAAGCUCUCACCGGUUCCUUUUUCACAACUAAUCGUCCGGUCACUCCUAACUGGCAGUUACUCCAGUGCUAAUCACGCUAAGGUUCUUCCCAGUACCUGGCCAUUUUGAAGUACUUGGAACUGCCACUGGAUGGCCUUGAAGAAGUUAUCUUUCAUUUCCCCUCUCCACCCCACCCCACCCCACCCCCAGCCUCUGUUUCCAGCAACUGUUUCCUGCAGUCUAGGCAACGCACCAGGCUCUGGGAAAGCAAAAUGUGUGAUAUUGUGCCAGUCAACCUGUGGCCCAAGGGAAGAAAAGGGUUAACUAAAGCUUCCGUACUCUGGAUACUGAAUCCUCAAGUGAGACAGGGCCACUUUCCUGUAGGAUGGGGUUUUGGGGUGUGGACCUAACUCUUCUCUGCUGAUCACAACUCAAGAACCUAUUCCGGGCCUGCACACCUCACCUGGAGACAGGAUUCCUACCCUGAUGCAAGGUGCCUGCACGGAUUCUUGGCCACAAAAGCAUAGACCUCUUUCAGAGCUGUUCCCAUUUGAUUUGUUAGCCCAACAAAUACUCAUUGAGGAUGAUGAGAGCCUUGUGGUGGGGGGUGGGGAGGGGGAGAAACCAGAAGUGCAAGGAGAGCACCCAGCAGAUCUAGAAAGGACUUCUUCGAGGGGGGAUUCUGGAGGACAUAAAGGAAGAGUCAGGAUGGGAGGACACAAGUAGAGAUUCCAGCGGAAGAAUCCCGAGAAACACCAGACCGGAAGAGAUGACCACAGUUAAGCAUGACCAUGAUCUGCAGCAUGGGGCCCGAGGCUGGAAGUGCAAGAAGAGGCUGAAAUGAAGAUAGGAAAGCUCACGGAGGCCCGAUCACACAGGGCCUUGGAGGGAAGGACAGUGACCGGAUUUUGCCUGCAUAGUAAAAACAGUCCGCUACAAAGCACUAAAAACACACCCCAAGCCCAGAAAGAUCCCUGCCUCUGGUACAGGCCGUGAUUGUUUUAUUCCACAGUCGUAGCUCAUCCUCAGCCAAGACAGUGUCUCGUUUAACCCACUGGGAUGGACGCUCUUGUUCUUUCCAUCUCGCAGACGUGAAAUGCACAAAGCCAAACUUCCUACUCCUGCCCAGUUCAUACUCUUUGUUCUAAGUCGGGGCUUGGCAGAGCCGGCGAGGCCUCUGAUAAUUCACCCCAGAUGCAGGUAGUGGACACCGUGACCACCCUUCCGCGUGAAUCCAUGAGUUGCUUCCUUCAUGUAACCACCUAGGGGGUUCUCCAGAGCUAGUUUACACGUAAGAUCAAGGCCAACCAGGCCGGGUCAGAGGUCAGGCAGCCCUGUAGCAAAGUUGUCUUCCUGUACCAAAAAAUGUCUCUAAACGGUCUCUAAUCUAUAGCUCUAAGUCCAAGGGCUCCAGCUGCCACUGUCAAGUUUCCUUCCCCUCAAGUAUCACUUUGCAAAAUCCUGUGGAUGUGGCCUGGUGCCAAGAUAGGCCGCAUACCCUCAACUCAAUAGUCCUGCUGGUCUCUCUGCCUUUCCUUGUCUGUCAGGCAAACACAGGUUUAUAUCAAUGUAGAAGAUGCCUCUUCUUAGAGGUCUCCCAGAUGCUGUCCUAAGGACAUGUAAUCCCUGCCUAUCCACCUAAAAACACGAUCCCUUGAGGUAACUAUUGCUUCUCAGUCUGGUCCCAGCCAGUUCUGAGAGCUCCUAGAACAAGGCCCAGGGCACACAGUUUUCUGGCUUCUGGUGACUAACUUUAAGUCAGUGAGGCUCAGAGAGCAAUUCCUAACUCUACUCUACCCCUCUCUCAUUCCCAGCCUGGUUCUUACCUGUUUUGAAGGUUUUCCUUCAAGGUGCAUGCCUGUUCGUGUUAACACUUGCUGUUAGAAACAGGGGGAUUGGGAGUGCAAGACCAUCCUGGGAUACAGAGACAUAUAUAUACAAAGACAACCUUGGUGGUGUGCAAUGCUGAAUCCAGAUCAACAGAGCAGACACCUACGAAAUGUACAGGAAUAAAUGACAGCCGAGCCCGAUGGAGUGGGACAGGUGGAGCUGCCCACUAAAUACAUGAUUUUGUUGAAUGUAUCCCUAACCUAAUCCCAUUGGGUAGCAAUGGGAGAAUGCCAGACCAGGUCAGCCUUGGGGACAGGCUCAGACACAGGGAGAAGUCCACAGCAUGCAGCCAAGCACCAGAAUAGGGCUGUCCCUUUAGUUUGUGUAAGAGUUGACUUUUACAACUCUCCCAGCCAUCGUCUCCCCUCAGCAAGAAAUUAAAGCACAGGCAGAGAACCAGCCCUCAGGAGGCCAGCCCUGCAAGAAGUAGGGCGGUGCUUUUUGUGCUGAGAAGCUCAGGAAGCCAGGAGGUAGUGGUGCACGCCUUUAAUGCCAGCCUUUAAUCCCAGGCAGAGGCAGGUGGAUCUCUGAGUUCAACCUUGUGUACAAAGUGAGUUUCAGGACAGCCAGGCCUACCCAGAGAAACCCCGCCUCAAAAAACAGCAACAGGGGUUGGGGAUUUAGCUCAGUGGUAGAGCGCUUGCCUAGCAAGCACAAGGCCCUGGGUUCAGUCCCCAGCUCUGAAAAAAAAAAGAAAAAGGAAAAAAAAAAACCAAACCAGCAACAAUAAAAAGUGCCAACAGUGAAAGGAGAAAGCCCAUGAGGCCUCAACACUACACAAGGAACCACAGGCAACCAAGGAGGGCUGAGGGUGGGAGGAGUCAUCUUGUCAAGGGGAGAGCACACCAGUUGGUUAUCCAAUACCCAGUGGUCAGCCCUGAAAACAUACAUAGGAGUAACUUUGUACAGACCGAGCUGGUUAUAUUCAGAAAUAUAUACGCCUAUACAUACAUAUGCAUGUAACAACAAUUAAGUUAACAAGAGAUAAAUUUGAAAGAGAGCAAGAAGGGAUACACAGGAGGGUUUGGAGUAUGGAAAGGGAAAUCAGAAAUGAUGUAAUAUAAUAAUUUCAGAAAGAAAAACAAAACAGGGGCUGGGGAUUUAGCUCAGUGGUAGAGCGCUUACCUAGGAAGCGCAAGGCCCUGGGUUCGGUCCCCAGCUCUGAAAAAAAGAACCAAAAAAAAAAAAAAAAAAAGAAAAACAAAACAAAAAAAACCUUCCAAUGAACAGCCAGUCUUCACUCCUUCCUUAGGCACGUGGCAUCUACCAAGUUAAUCUUUGUCUCUAUAGAUUUGUCUGUUUUGGACAAUUCAUAGAAAUGGAAACAUUCACGCUAGAGUGAUGGCUCAGUGGUUAAGAGCACUGACUGCUCUUCCCGAGGACCCCAGUUUAAUUCCCAGCAACCACAUGGUGGCUCACAACCAUCUGUAAUGGGAUCCAAUGCCCUCUUCUGGUGUGUCUGAAGACAGCUGCAGUGUACUCACAUAAAGUUAGUUAAUCAAGUAAUUAAAGAAAUUCUGUGCAAGGACCUGAGUUUGGCUCCCAGCACCCACAGUUAAAACAAACAAACAAACAGGGGUUGGGGAUUUAGCUCAGUGGUAGAGCGCUUGCCUAGGAAGCACAAGGCCCUGGGUUCGGUCCCCAGCUCCGAAAAAAAAGAACAAAAACAAAAACAAACAAACAACGGGAAAAGAUAGCUUACCUGUAAUUCCAGCCAAGAAGAGACAGGAGAUCCACAGAUCCCCCUUGCAAGCCAGUGUGGCAAAUUCACAGCCUCCAGGUUCAGCGAGAUAUUUUCUCUCAGAAGACAAGGUGAGCCAGGGCACGAUGGCACACGACUUUAAUCCCAGCACUCGGGAGACAGAGGAAAGCAGGUCUCUGGGUUCAAGACUAACCUUGACCACAGAGCGAGUGUCAGGAAAACCAGGUCAACACAGAGAAACCCUGUCUCAAAAGAACAAUCAGUAAUAAAUGAAUAAAA